CAGCAGUGGGGAAUUUUGCGCAAUGGACGAAAGUCUGAGGCAGCAACGCCGCGUGCACGAUGAAGGCCUUCGGGUUGUAAAGUGCUUUUCUGGAGGAAGAGAAAGGACGGUACUCCAGGAAUAAGGAUCGGCUAACUACGUGCCAGCAGCCGCGGUAACACGUAGGAUCCGAGCGUUAUCCGGAUUUACUGGGCGUAAAGCGCGUGCAGGCGGUUUGGUAAGUUGGAUGUUAAAGCUCCCGGCUCAACUGGGAGAGGCCGUUCAAAACUACCAGACUAGAGGGCGACAGAGGGAGGUGGAAUUCCCGGUGUAGUGGUGAAAUGCGUAGAUAUCGGGAGGAACACCAGUGGCGAAGGCGGCCUCCUGGAUCGUUCCUGACGCUCAGACGCGAAAGCUAGGGGAGCGAACGGGAUUAGA
rnacentral:rRNA from 1 species